GACGAACGCUGGCGGCGUGCUUAACACAUGCAAGUCGAGCGGUAAGGCCCUUUCGGGGGUACACGAGCGGCGAACGGGUGAGUAACACGUGGGUGACCUGCCUUUAGCUCUGGGAUAAGCCUGGGAAACCGGGUCUAAUACCGGAUAUGACUCCGCGGCGCAUGUUGUGGGGUGGAAAGCCUUGUGCGGCUGGAGAUGGGCCCGCGGCCUAUCAGCUUGUUGGUGGGGUGANGGCCUACCAAGGCGACGACGGGUAGCCGGCCUGAGAGGGCGACCGGCCACACUGGGACUGAGACACGGCCCAGACUCCUACGGGAGGCAGCAGUGGGGAAUCUUGCGCAAUGGGCGAAAGCCUGACGCAGCGACGCCGCGUGAGGGAUGACGGCCUCGGUUGUAA
rnacentral:rRNA from 1 species